rnacentral:tRNA from 1 species
GCGGCCGUGGCGGAACGGCAGACGCGCUGGUCUCAGGAACCAGUUCUUCGGAGUGAAGGUUCGAGUCCUUCCGGCCGCACCA